UACCUCCCACCCGUGUUUAUCGUACCUUGUUGCUUCGGCGAGCCCGCCUCACGGCCGCCGGGGGGCAUCCGCCCCCGGGCCCGCGCUCGCCGAAGACACCAUUGAACUCUGUCUGAAGAUUGCAGUCUGAGUGAUUAACUAAAUCAGUUAAAACUUUCAACAACGGAUCUCUUGGUUCCGGCAUCGAUGAAGAACGCAGCGAAAUGCGAUAAGUAAUGUGAAUUGCAGAAUUCAGUGAAUCAUCGAGUCUUUGAACGCACAUUGCGCCCCCUGGUAUUCCGGGGGGCAUGCCUGUCCGAGCGUCAUUGCUGCCCUCAAGCACGGCUUGUGUGUUGGGCCCCGCCCCCCGGUUUCGGGGGGCGGACCCGAAAGGCAGCGGCGGCACCGCGUCCGGUCCUCGAGCGUAUGGGGCUUCGUCACCCGCUCUGUAGGCCCGGCCGGCGCCCGCCGGCGACAACAAUCAAUCUAUCCA
rnacentral:misc_RNA from 1 species